rnacentral:rRNA from 1 species
ACAUCCAGCGAAUUCGGUAGAGAUACCUUAGUGCCUUCGGGAACGCUGAGACAGGUGCUGCAUGGCUGUCGUCAGCUCGUGUUGUGAAAUGUUGGGGUUAAGUCCCGCAACGAGCGCAACCCUUAUCCUUUGUUGCCAGCGGUCCGGCCGGGAACUCAAAGGAGACUGCCAGUGAUAAACUGGAGGAAGGUGGGGAUGACGUCAAGUCAUCAUGGCCCUUACGAGUAGGGCUACACACGUGCUACAAUGGCGCAUACAAAGAGAAGCGACCUCGCGAGAGCAAGCGGACCUCAUAAAGUGCGUCGUAGUCCGGAUUGGAGUCUGCAACUCGACUCCAUGAAGUCGGAAUCGCUAGUAAUCGUAGAUCAGAAUGCUACGGUGAAUACGUUCCCGGGCCUUGUACACACCGCCCGUCACACCAUGGGAGUGGGUUGCAAAAGAAGUAGGUAGCUUAACCUUCGGGAGGGCGCUUACCACUUUGUGAUUCAUGACUGGGGUGAAGUCGUAACAAGGUAAGCGUAGAUGA